GUUUGUUUGGAGUUAUAAAGAAUUUAAUCUGCCCCCUGAUUAACUAUUAAUUAAAGGGCCGCAGUAUUAUAACUGUGCAAAGGUAGCAUAAUCAUUAGGUUUUUAAUUGAAAUCUCGUAUGAAUGGUUGGACAAAAGAAAGACUCUCUUUAUAUUAAGUUUUGAAUUUAACUUUUAAGUGAAAAGGCUUAAAUAUUCUAAAGGGACGAUAAGACCCUAUAAAACUUUACAUUGUCAUUAAUUUUGAUUGAAUUUAUGAAAUAAAAAUUUUAUUUGAUUAUUUGUUAUGUUGGGGAGACAUAAGUAAAAUAUUUUUUUAACUGCUUGAUAGUUAUACAAUUAUUAGUGAAUAAGUAGAAGAUCCUUUUUAAGAUUAGUAGAUUAAGUUACUUUAGGGAUAACAGUGUAAUUUCUUUUGAGAGUUCUUAUCGAAAAAGAAGGUUGCAACCUCGAUGUUGAAUUAAAAUAUCUAUAUAAUGGAGAGGUUAUAUAAGAAGGUCUGUUCGACCUUGAAAAUUUUACAUGAUUUGAGUUCAAACCGGUGUGAG
rnacentral:rRNA from 2 species